rnacentral:rRNA from 1 species
AAGUCGUAACAAGGUCUCCGUUGGUGAACCAGCGGAGGGAUCAUUACUGAGUACUACACUCUCUACCCUUUGUGAACUAUUAUACCUGUUGCUUCGGCGGCGCCCGCAAGGGUGCCCGCCGGUCUCAUCAGAAUCUCUGUUUUUCGAACCCGACGAUACUUCUGAGUGUUCUUAGCGAACUGUCAAAACUUUUAACAACGGAUCUCUUGGCUCCAGCAUCGAUGAAGAACGCAGCGAAACGCGAUAUGUAAUGUGAAUUGCAGAAUUCAGUGAAUCAUCGAAUCUUUGAACGCACAUGGCGCCUUCCAGUAUCCUGGGAGGCAUGCCUGUCCGAGCGUCGUUUCAACCCUCGAGCCCCUGUGGCCCGGCGUUGGGGAUCUGCCACGGCAGGCCCCUAAAACCAGUGGCGGACCCGAAGGGCCCUCUCCUUUGCGCAGUAGCAUUCGCCUCGCAUCGGGAGUCCUCGGCGUCCUGCCUCUAAACCCCCACAAGCCCGCUUCGGCGGCACCAAGGUUGACCUCGGAUCAGGUAGGAAUACCCGCUGAACUUAA